rnacentral:lncRNA from 1 species
UGACACAAGCUCUCAUUAGGAAUUGCCCUCAAAGUCUUUUUUUUCAUCAAUAGUUUUUAAGACUCUUUGGCUAAUACAAAACCUUUAAUAAAUUAAUCUCCAUACAUUGUAGUUAGAGCGGAAUGAGGAAAUUAAUCUAAUAACUAAUCAAAAGCCCUUUGGAUCGAGGGAAGGACACUGCUACUACCACUGUAAAGCUUUUUUCCUCUUUAUCAGCCUGCAGUUGUGAAUUUCCAGAGUCCCCGCACUGGCACUUGCUGGAGCAGGCGGGCCCAGCAGUGCAGAGCCAGGGGCUGGUAUCAGCCUCUGAGCUCAGCAUCAGCCUAAGCUGGGCUUUGUUGGAGCCAGGUGUUUCUGGGCUUUCUUUUUGCUUGUUUUUAGCACCAAUGCAUGCACAUAUACAAAGGCUUGGUAAGCUUGGCCAACAUAUCCUGACAGCACUGCAAGGAAAGAAAUCUGAUUUAGCAGCAUCUGCUGAAGGCGCGUUGUGUUCCAGCUCCUGUACAGCAGGAAUGGAGGCAAAAUCGACUCUGAACCGCCCUUGGUUUUCUGCUUUUCCACUGAAUUAGAAAAUUCCAGUGUGCAUUUUCUAAUGGGAACCAACUAUUUGUUAUUUGCCUUUUUUAUCUUAUCUUAUCUUAUCUUAUCUUAUCUUAUCUUAUCUUAUCUUAUUAUUUUAUUUUCUCUCUUUGUCUUUUCUGCCCCAACAGCUGCACUGUGUGGCUGUGUGCUGCGACCCAUGCUCACAGGAACAGCGUGCCUUCAGACUUCUCCAGUGCCUGCACUGUGACAGCUUUCACACCUUGCAAGCAUUAAUUUGUUGGUGUUAUUACAGCGCCCAAAGUGUGCCCGGCACCUUCACAGCACGCAGUCAGAUGCUCCUGCCUCCAGGGAGUUUGUGGCUGAAGGAUGCGGCUGUGCUGUGGAUGGAUGUGCUCCUACAAGGCAGCGAUGAACGAUGAGGAGCUGCAGCCUGCCCCUGCCUGUGCCGGGUGUCACCGAUCCCUGCCCGUGGGUCACCCCCGUCUCACCUCGCCCCCACGCAGCCCCCUCAGCCCGUUUGUCAGCAGUGGGCCAUCGAUAGCCACGUGGAGGGGCUGUCUUAUCGCCGUUUUCUCUGUAACAACAAACCUUUCAUUUUCACUCUGCAUACAGUAGAACCAUCACGAAGGUUCAAAGCUUGCAUUUCAGUUGCUGUGCCGCAGUUAAACAGUCUGCUAUUCCUCAGAAAUUGCUCCACAAAGCCAUGAGCACGAGCAUCUACCACUUGGAAUAAGGACACCCGCCGGCCUCGGCAGCUUUUGCAUUUGGUCCCUGGCCCGGCCUGGAGCCCCAGGCGGGCACGGUGCUCCCUGCCAGGCCUUUCUGUGCUGCCCAGAAAGUGAGUGUUUUGUUUCCACUUUCCGUCUGAAAGAAGUUCAAUGAAUUAUUUACCCCAUUCCGUAAUUAGAGAUGUUAUUGCUGUUGUCUGGGCUAAUCCAGGCUCUGUCUGUGAGAUGAGCUGUAGGUACGCUCGCCGCCUUGAAGCUGUCAUUGAUGCCAAGGUUUAUAUAGCCACAUAAAUAAC